UACGAGGGGGGCGAGCGUUGUUCGGAAUUAUUGGGCGUAAAGAGUGUGUAGGCGGUGCUCUAAGUUCGGUGUGAAAUCUCCCGGCUUAACUGGGAGGGUGCGCCGGAAACUGGAGUGCUCGAGCGUGGGAGAGGAAAGCGGAAUUCCUGGUGUAGCGGUGAAAUGCGUAGAUAUCAGGAGGAACACCUGCGGUGUAGACGGCUUUCUGGACCAUUGCUGACGCUGAGACACGAAAGCGUGGGUAGCAAACAGG
rnacentral:rRNA from 1 species